rnacentral:sRNA from 12 species
AAAGCCCUGUUGAUGCGAAAUCUUACGUUUCACGUGAGAUACUAAUUUAGCUGAGACGGGGCUUU